UAAUUCUAACAGCACGGCAGUCAUUUCGUCGCUGAGCAACGAGGAGGCUGAGCUACUCGAAAUUAAAGAGUUUAGAAUCUUGUAAAUCUGUCGUGUAAUUAGACGCGUUAAAUCCGUCAGGCAGCAACGAAUCGUUCAAAGGAUCCACUGUAAUCGGUUCGUGUACGAAAACAGUGUUGCGCAUCUCAUUUAUCUUUCGAAACACGUGGAAAAAUUUUUGGCACACAUCUCUUAGGCAAACGAUCAACUGACUGAUUAUUCAGCAGUUCGUGAGAUAUUUUGAAUAUUUCAGAUAAGGAUUCGAAAUAUCUCAGGAACUGUUGAGUCACCGAUUGUCUGGGAAAAAAAUUCAUCAACGAUUCGUGUCGCAUCCUAUCGACUGUAUCACCUGUUGACAGGAUGAAAAGGAGCCAUAAUGACCCCGAGCCAAUCCCUGUGGGAUCAAAGACGACAACGAUCCUACAUCU